rnacentral:rRNA from 1 species
UACGUAGGGGGCAAGCGUUGUCCGGAUUUAUUGGGCGUAAAGAGCGUGUAGGCGGCCAGGCAGGUCUGCUGUGAAAACUCGAGGCUUAACCUCGAGCUGUCAGCGGAAACCAUCUGGCUAGAGUCCGGAAGAGGAGAAUGGAAUUCCCGGUGUAGCGGUGAAAUGCGCAGAUAUCAGGAAGAACACCCGUGGCGAAGGCGGCUCUCUGGGACGGUACUGACGCUGAGACGCGAAAGCGUGGGGAGCGAACAGG